GAACGCACAUUGCGCCCGCCCGUAUUCUGGCGGGCAUGCCUGUCCGAGCGUCAUUUCAACCCUCGAACCCCUCCGGGGGGUCGGCGUUGGGGAUCGGCCCUUUACGGGGCCGGCCCCGAAAUACAGUGGCGGUCUCGCCGCAGCCUCUCCUGCGCAGUAGUUUGCACACUCGCAUCGGGAGCGCGGCGCGUCCAAUGCCGUAAAACACCCAACUUUCUGAAAUGUUGACCUCGGAUCAGGUAGGAAUACCCGCUGAACUUAAG
rnacentral:misc_RNA from 1 species